rnacentral:rRNA from 1 species
GGAAGCAGCUUGCUGUUUUGCUGACGAGUGGCGGACGGGUGAGUAAUGUCUGGGAAACUGCCCGAUGGAGGGGGAUAACUACUGGAAACGGUAGCUAAUACCGCAUAACGUCGCAAGACCAAAGAGGGGGACCUUAGGGCCUCUUGCCAUCGGAUGUGCCCAGAUGGGAUUAGCUAGUAGGUGGGGUAACGGCUCACCUAGGCGACGAUCCCUAGCUGGUCUGAGAGGAUGACCAGCCACACUGGAACUGAGACACGGUCCAGACUCCUACGGGAGGCAGCAGUGGGGAAUAUUGCACAAUGGGCGCAAGCCUGAUGCAGCCAUGCCGCGUGUAUGAAGAAGGCCUUCGGGUUGUAAAGUACUUUCAGCGGGGAGGAAGGGAGUAAAGUUAAUACCUUUGCUCAUUGACGUUACCCGCAGAAGAAGCACCGGCUAACUCCGUGCCAGCAGCCGCGGUAAUACGGAGGGUGCAAGCGUUAAUCGGAAUUACUGGGCGUAAAGCGCACGCAGGCGGUUUGUUAAGUCAGAUGUGAAAUCCCCGGGCUCAACCUGGGAACUGCAUCUGAUACUGGCAAGCUUGAGUCUCGUAGAGGGGGGUAGAAUUCCAGGUGUAGCGGUGAAAUGCGUAGAGAUCUGGAGGAAUACCGGUGGCGAAGGCGGCCCCCUGGACGAAGACUGACGCUCAGGUGCGAAAGCGUGGGGAGCAAACAGGAUUAGAUACCCUGGUAGUCCACGCCGUAAACGAUGUCGACUUGGAGGUUGUGCCCUUGAGGCGUGGCUUCCGGAGCUAACGCGUUAAGUCGACCGCCUGGGGAGUACGGCCGCAAGGUUAAAACUCAAAUGAAUUGACGGGGGCCCGCACAAGCGGUGGAGCAUGUGGUUUAAUUCGAUGCAACGCGAAGAACCUUACCUGGUCUUGACAUCCACGGAAGUUUUCAGAGAUGAGAAUGUGCCUUCGGGAACCGUGAGACAGGUGCUGCAUGGCUGUCGUCAGCUCGUGUUGUGAAAUGUUGGGUUAAGUCCCGCAACGAGCGCAACCCUUAUCCUUUGUUGCCAGCGGUCCGGCCGGGAACUCAAAGGAGACUGCCAGUGAUAAACUGGAGGAAGGUGGGGAUGACGUCAAGUCAUCAUGGCCCUUACGACCAGGGCUACACACGUGCUACAAUGGCGCAUACAAAGAGAAGCGACCUCGCGAGAGCAAGCGGACCUCAUAAAGUGCGUCGUAGUCCGGAUUGGAGUCUGCAACUCGACUCCAUGAAGUCGGAAUCGCUAGUAAUCGUGGAUCAGAAUGCCACGGUGAAUACGUUCCCGGGCCUUGUACACACCGCCCGUCACACCAUGGGAGUGGGUUGCAAAAGAAGUAGGUAGCUUAACCUUCGGGAGGGCGCUUACCACUUUGUGAUUCAUGACUGGGGUGAAGUCGUAACAAGGUAACCGUAGGGGAACCUGCGGUUGGAUCACCUCCUUACCUUAAAGAAGC